rnacentral:lncRNA from 10 species
CAGUGAGCCGAGAUUGCGCCAUUGCACUCCAGCCUGGGCAACAAGAGCAAAAUUCCAUCCCAGAAAAAUAAAUAGUAAUAAAAGUAAUAAGAAAUGUUGAGAUGGAGGAAGAAGAGGUUAGAAGAAGUUUAAUUAUACCUAUUUCUUCAUCAUUAAUAUGGGGAGCAGGGAGGUCCGUAAUCAACAGAAUCUGUUUAACACCAGUAUGAAUUGGCGAGCCCCUGUCUUAGACCAUUUUGUGUUGCUAUAAAGGAAUACCUAAGGCUGGGUAAUUUAUGAAGAAAAGAAGUUCAUUUGACUCACAGCUCUGCAGACUGUAAGAAGCAUGGUGCCAGCAUGUGCUUCCGAUGUAGACAAGACCCCAGGAGCUGCAGCAGUCAUCUGCUCACACUGAAGUUCGUAGAACUAAAAGACGGAAGGAGCCUGGGAUGCUGAUGAAAUUGUGAAGCUACUGACACAAGCCCUGGACUGCCUAUCUCUGGACUCUACUGGAUGGGUCCACAUGGCAAGGAACCAAGGGUAGCCUCUGGCCAGCAACCAGAGAAGAUAAAGAUCUCCAACAACGUCUGCGUUUGGAAGAGGAUUGUUCUUCCGUAGAGUUUUCUGAUGAGGCCCCAGCCUUGGCAACAUCUUGACUGUCUCCUUGUAAAGGGACCUUGAGACAGAGGACUCAGCUCAGCCGUGCCAGACUCCUGACUCACAGAAACAGUGAGAUUAUAAAAACAAACUGUUUUAAGCCACUAAGUUUUGAGUAAUUUGUCACACAGUAGAUAAUAAACUUCCAUAGAAUCUUGAUAUUGAUCAUA